ACCAUCAUCAUUAGGAUGGUUGUUAUGAUGAUUGUGCUCUUAUUCCAGUUCUAUACUUUACUCAUUUUAUUCCUAAGUGGGAAUGGAUGUAUCAAAGACUUCUUAAGCUUUUGAAGUUGCGAGUUUUCGAAGUAGAUGAAUCCUGGCCAUACCGCUUUUUCAAAGAAAAAGCAAGAGAGA